UGGGGAAUCUUCCGCAAUGGGCGAAAGCCUGACGGAACAAUGCCGCGUGGAGGUAGAAGGCCCACGGGUCGUAAACUCCUUUUCUCGGAGAAGAAGCAGUGACGGUAUCCGAAGAAUAAGCAUCGGCUAACUCUGUGCCAGCAGCCGCGGUAAGACAGGGGAUGCAAGCGUUAUCCGGAAUGAUUGGGCGUAAAGCGUCUGUAGGUGGCUCCUUAAGUCCGCUGUCAAAUCCCAGGGCUCAACCCUGGACAGGCGGUGGAAACUACUAAGCUGGAGUACGGUAGGGGCAGGGGGAAUUUCCGGUGGAGCGGUGAAAUGCGUAGAGAUCGGAAAGAACACCAAAGGCGAAGGCACCCUGCUGGGCCGACACUGACACUGAGAGACGAAAGCUAGGGGAGCGAAUGGG
rnacentral:rRNA from 1 species